UACGUAGGGUGCAAGCGUUAUCCGGAUUUACUGGGCGUAAAGGGUUGCGUAGGCGGUUUGUUAAGUCAAAACUGAAAUACUCUCGCUUAACGGGAGGGACGGUUUUGAUACUAAUAAACUUAGAGGCUUUCAGAGGUAGCUGGAACUUGCAGUGGAGCGGUGAAAUGCGUUGAGAUUGCAAGGAACACCAAAGGCGUAGGCAAGCUACUGGGAAAGUCCUGACGUUGAUGCACGAAAGCCAGGGUAGCCAAAGGG
rnacentral:misc_RNA from 1 species